UACAGAGGUGGCAAGCGUUGUUCGGAAUUACUGGGCGUAAAGGGCGCGUAGGCGGCCUCGUAAGUCCUGUGUGAAAUCCCCCGGCUCAACUGGGGAACUGCACAGGAAACUGCGAGGCUUGAGUUCGGGAGAGGGAAGCGGAAUUCCGGGUGUAGCGGUGAAAUGCGCAGAUAUCUGGAGGAACACCGGUGGCGAAGGCGGCGUUCUGGACUGCAACUGACACUGAGGAACGAAAGCCAGGGGAGCAAACGGG
rnacentral:rRNA from 1 species